rnacentral:rRNA from 1 species
ACGUGAGUAACCUGCCCUUGACUUCGGGAUAACUCCGGGAAACCGGGGCUAAUACCGGAUAUGAGCCGUCCUCGCAUGGGGGUGGUUGGAAAGUUUUUCGGUCAGGGAUGGGCUCGCGGCCUAUCAGCUUGUUGGUGGGGUGAUGGCCUACCAAGGCGACGACGGGUAGCCGGCCUGAGAGGGCGACCGGCCACACUGGGACUGAGACACGGCCCAGACUCCUACGGGAGGCAGCAGUGGGGAAUAUUGCACAAUGGGCGAAAGCCUGAUGCAGCGACGCCGCGUGAGGGAUGAAGGCCUUCGGGUUGUAAACCUCUUUCAGCAGGGAAGAAGCGCAAGUGACGGUACCUGCAGAAGAAGCGCCGGCUAACUACGUGCCAGCAGCCGCGGUAAUACGUAGGGCGCAAGCGUUGUCCGGAAUUAUUGGGCGUAAAGAGCUCGUAGGCGGUUUGUCGCGUCUGGUGUGAAAACUCGAGGCUCAACCUCGAGCUUGCAUCGGGUACGGGCAGACUAGAGUGCGGUAGGGGAGACUGGAAUUCCUGGUGUAGCGGUGGAAUGCGCAGAUAUCAGGAGGAACACCGAUGGCGAAGGCAGGUCUCU